GGUCCCGCCUGCCCAGUGACAUCAGUUCAACGGCCGCGGUAUCCUGACCGUGCUAAGGUAGCGUAAUCACUUGUCUUUUAAAUGGAGACCUGUAUGAAUGGCAUAACGAGGGCUUAACUGUCUCCUCUUUCAAGUCAAUGAAAUUGAUCUCCCCGUGCAGAAGCGGGGAUGCUAACAUAAGACGAGAAGACCCUAUGGAGCUUGAGACGGUAAGGCAGCCCACGUUAACCCCCCCCCCCUCCCCGGACCAAACUAAAUGGACCCCGCCUGCUUUAAUGUCUUCGGUUGGGGCGACCCUGGGGAAUACAAAACCCCCAUGAGGAAUAGGAGCACCUUCCCCCUCCCACUUACUCCUUAAAACAAGAGCCACACCUCUAACUAACAAAACUUUUGACCCAAAUGAUCGCAAAGCCGAUCAACGGANAAAGUUACCCUAGGGAUAACAGNGCAAUCCCCUUUUAGAGUCCAUAUCGACAAGGGGGUUUACGACCUCGAUGUUGGAUCAGNACAUCCUAAUGGUGCAGCCGCUAUUAAGGGUUCGUUUGUUCAANGA
rnacentral:rRNA from 1 species